ensembl:lncRNA
ACUAGGUAAUCUUACAGAUCUUUUCCAGCCUUAAUGAUUCUGUGAUUGUAGUUAGGCUGCAGGUCCUCUGAUCCAGCAUCCUGGGUGGUCCAUGCUGCCCAAAGCACGGUCACCUUCCAAAUGAGAGGGAACACUGUAAGUGAUGGGGACUAAACAACAAGUGCUGUUACAGGAACCUGGAUCAUAUGUCUAAAACACUUUCCUUUUAGAUUACAGCACAACCAGGCUUAAUAAAUGAAACAAUUCAGUAUAUACUUGCAGGUUUUACAAAAGCUGUUCCACAAAGUUGAUCAAAAAGCUGAGUCAGUAACAAAAUGGUGAGAGAUGCAUGGGUUGGUAGGGGCGGGCUUCGCUCCGGGGAGCAGUUCUGAGCCCAGCAUUAGAUAGGAUGUUCCCAUUCCAGAUAAAUAUCCCAUUCCAGAGUAUAAAACGCACCAGCUGGAAGAAGGAUGCUGCUGUGAUCUGUAGUGGUGGAGUAAAAAAAAGAUCGCAUCAAUGCUUUGACCCUGGUGAAAAUAUACAAAGUCCUGCCCCUUCCUGGACUGAAACCUGAGGACCUGUCACAGGCAGGGAGCAAGUGCAUCUGUGCUGAGUGCCAGGGAGUGUGGCUGCAUCUCUGGGUGUGUCUCUUGGCUGCUGGGAGGGCAGGAGAGAAGUUGGGAAUGGUUUUACUCAGCAGGGAGAUACGGGGAGCCAUGUCCUCGUCCCAGUGGAAUUCUAUCUAAAUUCUGCCCGUUUUCAUACUUCGAAGAGGAAGGUUACACUACUGGAAUAGACCUCAUAGCUUAGCAAGUGAAUAACCGGGAGGCCUGGAGUGCCCAAUGUACAAAUAAUGGUUUUCUUUCCUCUUCUUCCCUCUAUGCCGCACUCAUUUCAUUUGUCCUGCUAUACAUUACUCAGUGCCAGGGGAAACUGCAGCUCCUGAGCAGGACUUGAGGAGUGCUGUGCAGGUCCUGCCUCCCACCUCAGCCCCAUGAGCUGCCAGAAGCGAAAGCCCAGCCUGCGCUGUGCCCGCAGAGCAUUGCACUGCAAAUAAUGAGAAAGAACUGCGUUAUACUACAGGAAGCAAUGCGUUUUACUGCACAAGAAUAUGGGGCUGGAAAUUUAAACAUUCCGGGUGGAUGGGUAAAAUGAAUAGCAAAUGUUUACUUGCUGUACACAACGUGCAAAGUCUAUUUACCUGUUGUUUCAAAUAGGGCUGUUUCCGGGACAACAGAGGUUAAAACAGGCUGCAGCCUGCUUUUCUGUACUUAAUGAGGCACUCUCCAUCACUGCUGCGGAAGGAAGCUCUUUAAGACUCAUAAGCUGUAACUUGAGCAGAAAUUGGAGCUUUGCACAGGGAUGGAUGUAAGCUGGGUUACGAUCUCCCGUGCCUCCUUCAGCAACCGGGUGCCUCCGAUGAACGCUGCCCGGCCAUUGCAAUUUGCCAUGCUUGAGUUCUUCCUUCGCUUUCUCCCUGGGGAUUAAUAUCCGUUAUGGCAACAUCCUGGUUUCCUGUGCAAAGUGCUUUUGGGACAGCAAUUCCCCAUCAUCCUUUGUAGCAAAGAACAGAUCAAAAGCAAUACCUCUCGAAAUACGCCCACGCGUGUGCUAUUGCAUCAAUACUGCUUUGUUCACUGGUACUCAGUGCUCCGCUUUGUGCCAGAAAGUGAUGACAUUUAGUAAUAGUGUAGACACUGCGUGGCAAAAAUAGC